UUGGUGACCCCAUGGAAAUUCAUUUUUCAGU
rnacentral:piRNA from 1 species